ACUCGUUUCCAAGGUGACGGCCACGCCGCCACGCCCUCCAGGCUGCGGGAACUGAGACGCUGGAAAACGACUCGGAGGAGAGCGUUCCCGCCGACGGCGGUCGCCGUCACAACCACCCGCGGGCCCAGGAAACCGGAGACUGUGGUCUCCGCGCCAGGCGCCGCGCAUGUGCUAUCCGCGGCCCGCACGGCUACCUCGGCUCCGGGUCUAGGGGGAAGGUCGUGGGAGAGCAGGCAUCCUGUUGCCACAAUCCUAGAGAAAGAAACCGAGAAGGAGGGGACCGCCUCACCAGGAUCUCUUUGGCAGGAGUUGGUGAGGACGGCGGCUUUUCCCGAAGGGACUCGAGAAGAGCCAGUGAAGACCUAGGGCAGCACCGCUGCGUCUCUCAGGAGAGAAUUAGGGAACAGCAUGGCCACCAGCAGAGCAGUCCACGGGUGGCUGUGAGGGGCGACAGCGGCCAAUGCAAGAGCGACGCGAGCUUAGGUGAAGUCGCUGGCUCGCAUUCCUGCGACUCGAGGGCCGCCGUCAGCGAAGACGCCUGGGUGGACGUCCUUAAAACCCGAGGGCCCCGAACCAGUGAUUCCGGGGCCCAAGGUAGCGACGACCGCAGCGGUUCUUGGGAAGGAGCAAGUGUGGAUGGAAGCCGCUGCCUCAGUAGUCCUUGGGAAGGAGUAAGUGAUGACAGGGCCUACGAGGCCAGAGACUCCUCUAGGGUGAGCAUCAGCGAAGACUCCAGCCGCCUCUUCCGUAGCUGCUGGGAGAGAGAAAGCGAAGAAGAUUCCUGCUUUAGGGGCUCUUGGGAGAGAAGGGAGGUUUGUGGUCCCCGCACCAGCGACGAAGAGUCCAGUUCUUGCAGCAGUGGUCCAUGCGGGGGAUCAAGUGAAGACCUCAGCAGCAGGGACCUGGGCUCCACUCCUCCCCAGAGUCCAAGACCGAGGUCGAAGGACAACACCAUGCCUGGUGUGGCUAAUCCAGGCCCCUCCAAGUCCCGUAGGGAGACUGCAGACUCAAGUUCCAGGAAGAAGGUACAUUUCAGUAGCAUACAUGAUGCGGUCCGGGCUGGAGAUGUCAAGCAGCUGUCAGACAUAGUGGAGCGUGGUGCCAACCUUAAUGAAGUGGAUGCUCUCCAUCAGUUUACUCCUUUACAUUGGGCAGCACAUUCUGGAAGUUUAGAGUGCCUUCACUGGCUACUCUGGAGUGGUGCUGAUGCCACACAGACAACUACAAGGGGAUGGACAGCGGCUCACAUAGCUGCAAUCCGGGGUCAGGAUGCCUGCUUACAGGCUCUUAUAAUCAAUGGAGCCAACCUAGCAACUCAAGAUGAUCGUGGAUGCACCCCACUACACCUUGCUGCUACUCAUGGACACUCUUUUUCUUUACAAAUAAUGCUGCGAAGUGGAGUGUUCAUUUAGCAGCCAUGGAAGGCCACCUCCAUUGUUUGAAAUUCCUACUGAGUAGAAUGAACAGUGCAACACAAGCCUUAAAAGCCUUCAAUGAUAAUGGAGAAAAUGUAUUGGACCUGGCCCAGCGGUUUUUGAAACAGAAUGUUGUAGAGUUUAUUCAGGGGGCUCAGUAUGAAGGAAGCCAUCCAGAUGAUCAUGAUGAUUUAGCCUUUCCAGGUCAUGUGGCUGCCUUUAAGGGUGACUUAGAAGUGCUUAAGAAACUGAUAGGAGACGGGGUAAUCAAUCUGAAUGAACGCGAUGAUAAUGGAUCAACUCCCAUGCAUAAAGCUGCUGGACAGGGCCACAUUGAUUGUUUGCAGUGGUUAAUUGAAAUGGGAGCCGAAAGCAAUAUUACCAACAAAGCAGGAGAGACCCCCAGUGAUGUGGCUAAGAGGUCUCCUCUUUAAAGCAAUCAUUCUCAGCUGGAAGAUGAUAUUAGAUGAUAGUAUUAGUUCUCUUUCCUUUGGGGAAGACAUUUCAAAAUGAGAACAAAGUCCAUAACAGUGAGCAUCGACCCCAUGAUGCCAGGUACAGGAGUCCUCAGUGCUCUGCAGUGAUCUAACUAGUGCGGCCAAUGCUUGUUUCACCCAGAUAGCCUUGAUGCCUUGCCGAGAAACUGGUCAAAAGGAAUAACAACAGUGAUAAAGAGGAGUAGUACUAAGGGAUUGAAUCAUAGUUAGGAAUUCACAGGGGAGCUAAAUGCAGCCUCUGUUACAGAACUCUGUGAGCUCAUACAGGUCAGGCCCACCUCUGUGCUCCUUUGGUUGUUGUUUCUUCAGUGUCUUGUCUAGUUCCUGUGGUUUAGGCACUGUGGCCACAGUCAGACGGUAAAGGUGGGCAGCACAGUGCCUGCAGUCAUGGAAGCCCUAGAAGCUUUACUUCAAAGGAAAGCAGAUGGACAAACCAAGCUUCGUCAUUAUAACCAUUGCCUCACCCACAUCACAUGGUGCACAUGAGUGAGGAAAACUGCCAGCUCUUCCUGCCUCUCAAUGGUAUGGCUUUGGAAACAGCACAGAUGAGAGUAAACGAUGAAAAAGAGACUGCAGAGGGAUAAGACUUAGACUGCUGUCAAGAAAACCAUUUAUAUUUUUUGAAGCAGCAGCAUUUAUAUUGACACUUGCUGGAGGAUUUGCAGCAUAACAUUGUGUAUUCUGAUCAUUCAGAACUGCUUGAAUUUAUACCAUGAGUAUGGGCUACAGUGGCAGGUGAGGCUUGACCUGCUGUUUGGUUGGGCCCAACAACUACUUAACUUAUAUGUAGCUCAGGCUGCCCUUCAACUUGCAGUCCUGUCUCAGCCUCCCUGGGCUGGGAUUAGAGGUUUGUGCCACUCUACCUCAUUGGAUUGUUUUGUUGCUGUUGGUUUUAAAGGGUUCUUUAUAUAUUCUAGAUACUAGUUCUUUCUCAGAAAACAUCCUUUACAAAGAAUAGUUUUCUCUCAGUGGUGGGAUUUUUUUCAUACUCUUAAAAUAUCUUUGGAGAUGAGUCAGUUUUGUAAAGUUUUCAUUUUCUGAAGUAUGCAUUUGAUGGUAAAUCUUGAAAAUCUUUGUGACUUUGUAUUCUAUGUUUUCUUCAAGAAGUUGUAUAAUUGUAGCCUGCAAGGGCUACGGUUCAUUGUGCAUUCUUUUUAAAGUAUAUUGUACUAGGUAUGCAUGUGAGUUCAUUCUUUUGCAUAUGGAUAUCAAUUUAGAACUAUUUGUUUGUCACUGCCUUUGUGAUUUGUCAAAACUCUACUUGCUGGUUUGAAACAGGGUCUCUCUCCAAAGUCCAGGCUGGCUUUAAAUUACCAAAUAGUCCAAACUGACCUCAAAGCUGUAAUCCUCCCACUGCCUCAGCUUCCCAAGUGCUGAGAUCGUAGGCAUAUGCCACCAUCUAGCUAAUACUUAAAUAUAGUAAAAUACAAAAAUGGAAAUAAGAACUACAUCUCCAAGUAGAAUAAAAAAGGGUAGCUAAGAUAACUUACAGGGUAAAUUAGGAUAUUAAAAAUUAAUUCAGGCCCUGGCAUUCCCCUGUACUGGGGCAUAUGAUCUUCACAAGUAUAGGGGGCUUUGGGGAUAGCAUUUGAAAUGUAAAUGAAGAAAAUAUCUAAUAAAAAAUAAAAAGAAUAUGAUAGUUUCCAAAAAAAGUAUUAAUAAAAUUCAAGAAAUAAAUUUCAAAAGAAAUUAAUUCAGGUAAAAUAUUAAUAAAAUGAGGAAUGGGAGUAGGGGAAACAGCAGGAAGAUUGGCAAGAGAGGAAAGGGCUGUAGAACUAAGGUAUGAGAAAUAAUAGGAAAAAGAAAGUUAGGAGGAAAAAAAGCAAUUCAAAACAAGAGGGGCAUAAUAGUGUGUGCCAGCAUUCUAAAGGCAGGGGUGGGCAGAUCUCUGUAGAGUUCCAGGCCAGCUAGGGCUACACAGCAAGAUAAGUCUCAAAACAGAAAGACAAAUGGAAACCAACCCAAACAGCCAUCAUUAGUUCUCCCCCACCCCAAGCAGAUGGGGGAUUUGAUGUCUUUCCCUCCACCCUGCUUCUUUUGACAUGUCCUGGAGUUGGGGAAGUAGGCAGCAAGUUGUUUUUCUCUCUAUUUCAAACAGGCUGUACCUGAAAGAACUGUGGAGGCUGGGCCCUUGUGAGCCUUACUGAGCCAGGCAAGAGCUAGGACAGUGACCACCAUGCCUGUCAUCUCUGUGUGUGAACUUGGCGCUGCAGCAAGCCCAGGUGUGGUGCUCCCAUGUACCUGCGCAGGUCCCCUCCUACAUGGGAACACCAAAGCUUUGGCGUAUCUCCAUCUUUGUCUCUGGGGAUCCUGAGUGGAGAGGUGGUCAAACCCACAGUCUGUACCAAGGGCAUGGCGCAUGAGCACUGCGGAAUCCUCUGUGCUCUAGCAACGCUGGCCUCUGUUCCAGCCCUGCUUAUAGCCACCCAUGGCUAGUUUUCACUUACCUUCUCAGAGGUCAGGCUACCAUUGCCAAACAGAAGUUUCUCUGCUUCCCUCUGCGUGCAUCUCCCAGCCUUGGAGAUCUGUAUCAGUAAAUCUGUGUUCAAAUCACAGCCAGUUUCUUAGGCCCACAUUGACUCUUGCAGCAAGCACUUGCAGAGCUAGUGAAAAAGAGAGGCCACUAGCACUUGAAGGUAUGAAGGUAUAGGGCCCCUAGUUCUUCAAGCCUGAGGUUCCAUGGUGGCAUCUCUCUUUCUCUCUCUUUUAAAAAAAAAGGAUAUAUAUAUAUAUAUAUAUAUAUAUAUAUAUAUAUAUAUAAAAUUAUUCCAUUCGUUUAUAUUUCAAAUAGUACCCUCUUUCAUGGUUAUCCCUCCACAACUCCCCCACCCCACAUCCACCCUCUCCCCUCUCCCCUUUACCUCUUUACCCACACUAACUCCCACCCCAGUGCUCCAGCAUCCUCCUAGCCUGGAGUACCAAACCUUUACAGGACCAAGGGCCUCCCUUCCCAUUGAUGUCAGACAAGGCCAUUCUUUGCUACAUAUGUAUGUGGAGCCAUGGAUCCCUCCCUGUACACCCCUUUGUUGUUGGUCUAGGUCCUGGGAGCAUGGGGUGGUCUGGCCAGCCAACAUUGUUCUUCCUAUGGGGUUGCAAUUCCCCUUAUCUCCUCCAGUCCUUCUGCCAGCUCCCCGCACUGGGGCCCUGAGCUCAGUCUGAUGGUAGCUCCAAGCAUCAGCAUCUGCAUUGGUGAGGUGCUGGCAGAACCUCCCAGGGAACAGGAUGGCAUCUCUCUUAAGAUGGUUGCUCAGCAUAGCACACUGAGCAAACUAGCAAGUGCUGGGCCUUUUCCUGUGCCUGUCUACUUACAGAUCCAGAUCUGCUGUCUUAAACCAAGUUUGCACAGUGCUAGAUUGUGCACCUGUGGCUCUUUCCCAGGUUCUCUCCUCUCCUUUUCUAAAAGCGGAAUUUUCUUUCUUGUCUCAUGCUGUGCUGCCUAGAGGUCACUACAGAGGUACUAGUAGUGCAGUACUGGUAGUACUGCAGUUCUUUGCUUCUUUCGUAAUUUAAGGUACAGUAUGUCUGGAUUUGACCUGGUCACUAUCUGUUGCACAUGCCUGUACUUACACACCCAAAGUUCUUUUUUCAAUCUUGUGAAAAUAUAGGAAUAUUCUGGCUGUCUCCAGUCUACCACAGCCCCUGCUGUCUUUCUUUGUCAGUCUGACAACUCUGUAUAACUUUAUUACUAAAUCUUGUGUUUGUUCUUGUGGUGCUGGGAAUCAAACCUGGGUACUUGUACAUACUAGGCAAGUACUGUACAACCAAGCUGCAAACCCAGCUCUAUUGACAGCUCUUUAAUAAUUUACUUGCUGUAACUGAUAAAAAAAUAAGAAUGUAUGUAUGUAUAAAUGUGUAUUCUAAGAAAA